rnacentral:rRNA from 1 species
GAUGAACGCUAGCUACAGGCUUAACACAUGCAAGUCGAGGGGAAACGAUAGAGAAAGCUUGCUUUUUCUAGGCGUCGACCGGCGCACGGGUGAGUAACGCGUAUCCAACCUGCCCACCACUUGGGGAUAACCUUGCGAAAGUAAGACUAAUACCCAAUGACGUCUCUAGAAGACAUCUGAAAGAGAUUAAAGAUUUAUCGGUGAUGGAUGGGGAUGCGUCUGAUUAGCUUGUUGGCGGGGUAACGGCCCACCAAGGCGACGAUCAGUAGGGGUUCUGAGAGGAAGGUCCCCCCACAUUGGAACUGAGACACGGUCCAAACUCCUACGGGAGGCAGCAGUGAGGAAUAUUGGUCAAUGGACGAGAGUCUGAACCAGCCAAGUAGCGUGAAGGAUGACUGCCCUAUGGGUUGUAAAACUUCUUUUAUACGGGAAUAAAGUGAGGCAUGUGUGCCUUUUGUAUGUACCGUAUGAAUAAGAUCGGCUAACUCCGUGCCAGCAGCCGC